AAAGUGCAAAUUGAUAUCUUUGCAUCAAUGAUCAGUUGUAAAAUUCCGAUGGUGGAUGUUGACUUAGACCAAGAUUUGUUCUUUUGAUUGAUUUCAAUACUUAAAUCUGAAUUCUUCUUUAGUUGUUUUAUUAUUUUCAUUAUACUCAAACCCCCCCUCCGUCCUUGUUCAAGUUGCAUAAAACUAGGCUAGAUACUCUUCGUGGGAACGAUCCUUACUC
rnacentral:lncRNA from 1 species